CUCGCGGCCUAUCAGCUUGUUGGUGAGGUAAUGGCUCACCAAGGCGUCGACGGGUAGCCGGCCUGAGAGGGUGACCGGCCACACUGGGACUGAGACACGGCCCAGACUCCUACGGGAGGCAGCAGUGGGGAAUAUUGCACAAUGGGCGCAAGCCUGAUGCAGCAACGCCGCGUGAGGGAUGACGGCCUUCGGGUUGUAAACCUCUUUUAGCAGGGAAGAAGCGAAAGUGACGGUACCUGCAGAAAAAGCACCGGCUAACUACGUGCCAGCAGCCGCGGUAAUACGUAGGGUGCAAGCGUUAUCCGGAAUUAUUGGGCGUAAAGAGCUCGUAGGCGGUUUGUCGCGUCUGCUGUGAAAACUGGAGGCUCAACCUCCAGCCUGCAGUGGGUACGGGCAGACUAGAGUGCGGUAGGGGAGAUUGGAAUUCCUGGUGUAGCGGUGGAAUGCGCAGAUAUCAGGAGGAACACCGAUGGCGAAGGCAGAUCUCUGGGCCGUAACUGACGCUGAGGAGCGAAAGGGUGGGGAGCAAACAGGCUUAGAUACCCUGGUAGUCCACCCCGUAAACGUUGGGAACUAGUUGUGGGGUCCAUUCCACGGAUUCCGUGACGCAGCUAACGCA
rnacentral:rRNA from 1 species